rnacentral:rRNA from 1 species
UACGUAGGGCGCAAGCGUUGUCCGGAAUCAUUGGGCGUAAAGAGCUCGUAGGCGGCCUGUUGCGUCCGCUGUGAAAUCCCGGGGCUUAACCCCGGGCGUGCAGUGGAUACGGGCUGGCUGGAGGCAGGCAGGGGAGAACGGAAUUCCCGGUGUAGCGGUGAAAUGCGCAGAUAUCGGGAGGAACACCGGUGGCGAAGGCGGCCUGCUGGGCAGUAGCUGACGCUGAUGCGCGACAGCGUGGGGAGCAAACAGG